rnacentral:rRNA from 1 species
GAUUGAACGCUGGCGGCAUGCUUUACACAUGCAAGUCGAACGGUAACAGGGAGCUUGCUCCGCUGACGAGUGGCGAACGGGUGAGUAAUAUAUCGGAACGUACCCAAGAGUGGGGGAUAACGUAGCGAAAGUUACGCUAAUACCGCAUACGAUCUAUGGAUGAAAGCAGGGGACCGCAAGGCCUUGUGCUCCUGGAGCGGCCGAUAUCUGAUUAGCUAGUUGGUAGGGUAAAGGCCUACCAAGGCAUCGAUCAGUAGCUGGUCUGAGAGGACGACCAGCCACACUGGAACUGAGACACGGUCCAGACUCCUACGGGAGGCAGCAGUGGGGAAUUUUGGACAAUGGGGGCAACCCUGAUCCAGCAAUGCCGCGUGAGUGAAGAAGGCCUUCGGGUUGUAAAGCUCUUUUGUCAGGGAAGAAACGGUUUUGGCUAAUAUCCAGAGCUAAUGACGGUACCUGAAGAAUAAGCACCGGCUAACUACGUGCCAGCAGCCGCGGUAAUACGUAGGGUGCAAGCGUUAAUCGGAAUUACUGGGCGUAAAGCGUGCGCA